rnacentral:rRNA from 1 species
GAUGAACGCUGGCGGCGUGCCUAAUACAUGCAAGUCGAGCGAAUGGAUUAAGAGCUUGCUCUUAUGAAGUUAGCGGCGGACGGGUGAGUAACACGUGGGUAACCUGCCCAUAAGACUGGGAUAACUCCGGGAAACCGGGGCUAAUACCGGAUAACAUUUUGAACCGCAUGGUUCGAAAUUGAAAGGCGGCUUCGGCUGUCACUUAUGGAUGGACCCGCGUCGCAUGAGCUAGUUGGUGAGGUAACGGCUCACCAAGGCAACGAUGCGUAGCCGACCUGGGGGGGUGAACGGCCAAAAUGGGACUGAGACACGGCCCAGACCCCUACGGGAGGCAGCAGGAGGGAAUCUUCCGAAAUGGACGAAAGUCUGACGGAGCAACGCCGCGUGAGUGAGGAAGGCUUUCGGGUCGUAAAACUCUGUUGUUAGGGAAGAACAAGUGCUAGUUGAAUAAGCUGACACCUUGACGGUACCUAACCAGAAAGCCACGGCUAACUACGUGCCAGCCGCCGCGGUAA